rnacentral:tRNA from 1 species
UGCGGAGUAGAGUAGCGGUAGCUCGUUGGGCCCAUUCCCCAAAGGUCGCAGGUUCGAGUCCUGCCUCCGCCACCA